AGCGUAAAAGUAGCAAUACGUUGGUGGCGACCGGCGCACGGGUGAGUAACGCGUAUCGCAACCUACCUAUCAGGAGGGGAAUAACCCGGCGAAAGUCGGACUAAUACCGCAUAAAACAGGGGCAACCGCAUGGUGAUAUUUGUUAAAGAAAUUCGCUGAUAGAUGGGCAUGCGUUCCAUUAGGUAGUUGGUGAGGUAACGGCUCACCAAGCCGACGAUGGAUAGGGGAACUGAGAGGUUGGUCCCCCACACUGGUACUGAGACACGGACCAGACUCCUACGGGAGGCAGCAGUGAGGAAUAUUGGUCAAUGGGCGAGAGCCUGAACCAGCCAAGUCGCGUGAAGGAAGAAGGAUCUAUGGUUCGUAAACUUCUUUUGCAGGGGAAUAAAGUGCAGGACGUGUCCUGUUUUGUAUGUACCCUGAGAAUAAGGAUCGGCUAACUCCGUGCCAGCCGCCGC
rnacentral:rRNA from 1 species